rnacentral:rRNA from 1 species
UACGUAGGUGGCGAGCGUUGUCCGGAUUUACUGGGCGUAAAGGGCGUGCAGGCGGUUUGUUAAGUGCAGGGUGAAAGCUCCCGGCUCAACUGGGAGAGGUCCUUGCAUACUGGCGAACUCGAGGGAGGCAGAGGAAAGUGGAAUUCCCGGUGUAGUGGUGAUAUGCGUAGAUAUCGGGAGGAACACCUGUGGCGAAGGCGGCUCACUGGCCCGAUACUGACGCUGAGGCACGAAAGCGUGGGGAGCAAACAGG